rnacentral:rRNA from 1 species
AAGAGACAGCAGUCGCCGCGGUAAUACGGAGGGUGCAAGCGUUAAUCGGAAUUACUGGGCGUAAAGCGCACGCAGGCGGUCUGACAAGUCAGAUGUGAAAUCCCCGGGCUUAACCUGGGAACUGCAUUUGAAACUGUCAGGCUGGAGUCUUGUAGAGGGGGGUGGAAUUCCAGGUGUAGCGGUGAAAUGCGUAGAGAUCUGGAGGAAUACCGGUGGCGAAGGCGGCCCCCUGGACAAAGACUGACGCUCAGGUGCGAAAGCGUGGGGAGCAAACAGGAUUAGAGACCCGAGUAGUCCCUGUCUCUUAUAC